AAAACAGGAAUAUUCUAAAAAUGGUAAAAUAUUACAACAAUACUGUGGGCCGGCCCAAUCAACAUUUGUACAGCCCAAAAUGAAAAUAUUACAAAAAUACCACUUGCCCUUACCUUCAGCCGCACGUCACAAACGGAGAGGAUGAAUGAAGCUCCAUCGAUGCAGUCGGCCACGCAACCAGAAUGAAACCAGAUCGAACGUAAAACAACUGUAAAUCCCGUCGAAUUUCAAUAGGAAUCGAACAAAUCCAACGAUCUAAACAGAAAUUUUUUUAAAAAAAAGAGCAGGACAACCGUGGAGAAACUGAAUUUCAACAUUUGAUUUCGGUUUUUAUAGUGCAAUAUCACUCAAACGAUCGUCGAAAAUUCAGAUUGAAGCAAUGUAAAUCUGUAUUGAACAGAUCUGGAGCUCCCCCUCAAAUCCAAAAAAAAAGUUGCAUUAUCGUUUGAAAAUGGUUUCGAAAUCAUGAAGAAGUGUUAUAUGACAAGUACCAAGAGCUAGCAUAUGCACAAGGAAUUUAUUGUGGAAAAGAUAGAGUACAGAACAGUUUGAGAAAUGGAAUCUGGACAGGAAACACAAUGCUUGAACAAAGGAACAGAGAUAGUAGUAAGUUUGUACUCUAUUUCAUAACAUAAUAAAACCAGUUUUAAAAUUCGUUGCCUCGGACUAAUAACAAUUGCAAAAACA